GAGAGAGAGAGAGAGAGAGAAAAAAAGUUUCAAUUCUACUCACAGGUGUGAUUUAUCAAAUUGCUGUAAAUCACAAUUAACUUGAUGGGAAGGGGAAAACACAGAUCAAAAUCAGUAACACUCCAGACUAAAACCAUACAAAUUAUAACCAUAUGCACCAGUUCACUCGGUAAACAAUCCUUUUGUUAACUUUUUACGAAGGCAUCAGGUUUUCCAUUAGGAUUUUUAAAAUUUUUACCCAGUUCAGUGGCAUAAUCUGAAAUUUAUCAGAGACUCAUACUGGUCAAGGUCCUUCAUAUGAAUCUUCUUGAAGAUGAAGCACAUUUACAAAAGCAUCAGAAUUAAAUACCUGAUUACAACUUACUUAAUAAAGAAACUUAGUUAUAAUAACCAGAAUUAUGACUGGUUAUAAUCUUAUAACCCUUAAAAAUUUUAAUCUCAGGCAAAAACCAAGAAGUAAGUAAUUUAAACUGUCAUACCAGCACUUCCUGAUUGGAAAACUUAUGCUUUAGUCUAACUCUCCCAAGAAGAUAAGCCCCCACUUAUCAAGGACAGCCACCACAGGACCCCCAUACUAAUGGACAGCCACCCCGGGGUUACCCCAGCAACUUUUGGGAUCACCUCUGGAAUUUUUGGGCUUCCCUUGUGGCUCAGCUGGUAAAGAAUCCACCUGCAAUGUGGGAGACCUGGGUACAAUCCCUGGGUUGGGAAGAUCUCGUGGAGAAGGGAAAGGCUACCCACUCCAGUAUUCUGGAGUUUCUUCUGUCUCCUGGCUGGUUCACCAGCUGUAGGACUUCAACUGGAGGACUGCAAGUCCUAUGCUCAACCAACUUCAAGACUGAAGAAAGAACCCAGAUGGAGAUGUUGCUGCUUUAAUGAGUAGGGGGAGCUCGACAGUCUGAAGCAGGAUCUUGGAGCAAUACCCCAUUGUGUGUGUGGCAGACAGCAGGAAGGACACAGAAGGCAGGACACUACAGCAAUCUCAGCUCUGGGGGGGAAGGGGAGAUUGUCAAUUACAGGUGGUAUUGAUAUCAAGCUGGGUCAUCAGUUACCAGGGAAACCAUCAGAGGUGCUCACCCUUCAACACCCCUUUGACAAGAACAAUCAACAGCUGGGAUAAGUAGAUAGGUAGGCAUUUACUGAUUAGGAAGGUCAGUCAGGUGAGUAGGUAUAGGUGAAGCAGACUUUGGUCUGCCAGGGACGUGCAGAGAUCAAGAGAACAGCCACCUUGAGUGGCCUGACCAAACAGUAGGAAAAUACCCCUCAAUAAUUCAGUGAACAAACUCUACUGAUAUGCCAUAUUUAUGCAAUGACCUACUAUACACCAAUGCAAAUGAAUGAGCUACCACACAAGCAACAAUAUGGAUGAAUCUCACAGUUGAAUGAAAGAAGUCAGAUCCAAAAGCAAUAAAUACGGCAUAAUAACAAAUAUACAAAAGUAACCUAUGGUUUUAAAGUCCACUUGAGGGAAGAAGAGGGGGUUUGUGGCUAAGAAAGGGCACAGGCUGGCUUUUGCAAUGGACGCAGGAUUACAUUUGCUGAUCUGGGAGGUUGCUGUGUCACUCUGUGCUUAUUCAACUAUGUAGUUAUUAGCACAUUUUUCUCUAAGCAUGUUGUGCUUUGAUAAAAAUUUUUUUAAACCAAAGUCAGCUUUUAUAUCUCAUUUGGUGUUUUUGUUUGUUUUCCAGUGAAGAAGAUGAUCAUGACAGCCCACAAGAAACAACCAAUACAAUAUUGUAAAGUUAAAAAAUAAAAUAAAAUAAAUAAAUAUCACUAUACUGAAACGCUUUUUUAAAAAGCAAAUCUCUUUUGUUUUAUUAGAUGGUGAACUCUUGAAGGUCAGCAUUACCGCCUUACUCUCCUGUUAUUCAGCAUUGCCUAGAACAAUUUUCCGUAAGUUACAGCUUUUCAGUAAAUGUUUGUUACAUGAAUGUUUGCCUCUUGAGUUGGUGCUGUGAGAGGAAUUUUAUGCUCCACCUUUACAAAAGUACUUUUUGACUGACGUAAGUCUUCUGACUUUCUUGCAUAGCACCCAACUGAAUGGGCCUUGGUUUAAUCUCACUGAGGCUUUGGAUCUGGGGGGCUUUUCACUGUCAGACCCAACUUUUUAUGCUCGAUCAAGAUUCUGGCGGAACUUUCCAUCAUACUGAAAUUGUUUCAGCCGUGGCAGUGUAACUUUGCAACCUAAUUAAUACCACCGGAGAAGGCAAGGUAUAAUCAGAGCCAGGAAAAAGCAAUUGAAUCGAGCUAAACAUACUCAGCUUUUAUAUUAGCACCAAGUUUCAGGCUGGAUGUCUCCCUGGGGAUCACUAACAGAGGAAACAAGUGAGGAGCAUCAGCAAAACACUCUUGCUGGGUGUGUUUGAUGCCACCGCUAGUUUUAAUCAGCACAGCGUGUUCUGCUCCUAAUAUAAUUAUUGUACAAUCAUGUUGCAUCAGGUUGAGACAACUCGACUACUGAAUUGAAGGAGAUUCACAAGUGAAUGUGGGACAAGGUUUCUCUUUGCUGUGGUGAACAUGACAUGGAUCACCUAUGUUGCACAACUUUGAUUUUGUUUCUUCUCAGUAUUUUGAAACUUCUCUGAAAGGUCUUCACUGUUGUCUCCUGUAAGCAUGAUUUCUCUUUUUCUCUCUCUUUCCUUCCCUCCCUAUUUCCCUCUAACUCUCUCUCUCUCUUUUUAGGCUCUUAAAAAAUCACUGUGAUAUAUACCUGAUUAUUGAAUACUUUGGAGUUUACUUGUAAGGAUAGGUGUUUUUUGGCAGCUACUUCACUUUUUUGUCAAUGUACAUUUUAUUUUUUUGGAAUUUUUUUUAGACUACCCUGAAAUUAGGGAUAAAUUUUGGGUUUGGAAAAUGAAUAAAGGGCUAAAUUGCAACUUUUGUCUACUCUCUCCAUGGGUGUUUAAAUUGUUUUGGUAGCUAUCCCAUCAGAUUUGUCAUCAAAAUGCCAAAGAAAGGAUGUGAUUUACUUGUCUUGGUGAUUGCUGAAGGUUAUUAAUAUUCUAAAACUAAUUUCAAACUGUAUUUCACAGUCAUAUUAGUAAUAAACAAUAGAGUAGAACGCUUAAAGAUUUGGCCUUAGGCAGCUCAGGAUAUGAGUUUAGGCAUCACCAAUUCAUUUUCUCAUCCAUUCACUCAUCACUCAUAGUUACUAAAUGCCUUUCUUUAUUUGCCAGUCACUAGGCUAGGAGGUACUAUGAAUACAGGGUUGAACAAAACCAAAUAUGGCACAUUUUCUAGCCCUUUUAAA